rnacentral:rRNA from 2 species
GAAUGCUGACAUAAGUAACGAUAAAGCGGGUGAAAAGCCCGCUCGCCGGAAGACCAAGGGUUCCUGUCCAACGUUAAUCGGGGCAGGGUGAGUCGACCCCUAAGGCGAGGCCGAAAGGCGUAGUCGAUGGGAAACGGGUUAAUAUUCCCGUACUUGGUGUUACUGCGAAGGGGGGACGGAGAAGGCUAUGUUGGCCGGGCGACGGUUGUCCCGGUUUAAGCGUGUAGGUGUGUGUUCCAGGUAAAUCCGGUUCACUUUAACACUGAGGCGUGACGACGAGGCACUACGGUGCUGAAGCAACAAAUGCCCUGCUUCCAGGAAAAGCCUCUAAGCAUCAGGUAACACGAAAUCGUACCCCAAACCGACACAGGUGGUCAGGUAGAGAAUACCAAGGCGCUUGAGAGAACUCGGGUGAAGGAACUAGGCAAAAUGGUGCCGUAACUUCGGGAGAAGGCACGCUGACACGUAGGUGAAGUGAUUUACUCAUGGAGCUGAAGUCAGUCGAAGAUACCAGCUGGCUGCAACUGUUUAUUAAAAACACAGCACUGUGCAAACACGAAAGUGGACGUAUACGGUGUGACGCCUGCCCGGUGCCGGAAGGUUAAUUGAUGGGGUCAGCGUAAGCGAAGCUCCUGAUCGAAGCCCCGGUAAACGGCGGCCGUAACUAUAACGGUCCUAAGGUAGCGAAAUUCCUUGUCGGGUAAGUUCCGACCUGCACGAAUGGCGUAAUGAUGGCCAGGCUGUCUCCACCCGAGACUCAGUGAAAUUGAACUCGCUGUGAAGAUGCAGUGUACCCGCGGCAAGACGGAAAGACCCCGUGAACCUUUACUAUAGCUUGACACUGAACAUUGAGCCUUGAUGUGUAGGAUAGGUGGGAGGCUUUGAAGUGUGGACGCCAGUCUGCAUGGAGCCGACCUUGAAAUACCACCCUUUAAUGUUUGAUGUUCUAACGUGGACCCGUAAUCCGGGUUGCGGACAGUGUCUGGUGGGUAGUUUGACUGGGGCGGUCUCCUCCUAAAGAGUAACGGAGGAGCACGAAGGUUGGCUAAUCCUGGUCGGACAUCAGGAGGUUAGUGCAAUGGCAUAAGCCAGCUUGACUGCGAGCGUGACGGCGCGAGCAGGUGCGAAAGCAGGUCAUAGUGAUCCGGUGGUUCUGAAUGGAAGGGCCAUCGCUCAACGGAUAAAAGGUACUCCGGGGAUAACAGGCUGAUACCGCCCAAGAGUUCAUAUCGACGGCGGUGUUUGGCACCUCGAUGUCGGCUCAUCACAUCCUGGGGCUGAAGUAGGUCCCAAGGGUAUGGCUGUUCGCCAUUUAAAGUGGUACGCGAGCUGGGUUUAGAACGUCGUGAGACAGUUCGGUCCCUAUCUGCCGUGGGCGCUGGAGAACUGAGGGGGGCUGCUCCUAGUACGAGAGGACCGGAGUGGACGCAUCACUGGUGUUCGGGUUGUCAUGCCAAUGGCACUGCCCGGUAGCUAAAUGCGGAAGAGAUAAGUGCUGAAAGCAUCUAAGCACGAAACUUGCCCCGAGAUGAGUUCUCCCUGAGACUUAG